rnacentral:rRNA from 1 species
AUCUCUUUUAGAGAUGAGUGGCGAACGGGUGAGUAAUACAUAGGUAACCUGCCCCUGUGCGGGGGAUAACAGGAGGAAACUCCUGCUAAUACCGCAUAGCCAUGAGCACCGCAUGGAGCUCAUGCCAAAUAUCCUUUAUGGGAUAGCGCAGGGAUGGACCUAUGGCGCAUUAGCUGGUUGGCGGGGCAACGGCCCACCAAGGCAACGAUGCGUAGCCGGCCUGAGAGGGCGGACGGCCACAUUGGGACUGAGACACGGCCCAUACUCCUACGGGAGGCAGCAGUAGGGAAUUUUCGGCAAUGGGGGAAACCCUGACCGAGCAACGCCGCGUGAGCGAAGAAGGCCUUCGGGUCGUAAAGCUCUGUUGUAAAGGAAGAACGGCGCAUACAGGAAAUGGUAUGCGAGUGACGGUACUUUACCAGAAAGCCACGGCUAACUACGUGCCAGCAGCCGCGGUAAUACGUAGGUGGCGAGCGUUAUCCGGAAUCAUUGGGCGUAAAGAGGGAGCAGGCGGCCGCAAGGGUCUGUGGUGAAAGACCGAAGCUAAACUUCGGUAAGCCAUGGAAACCGGGCGGCUAGAGUGCGGAAGAGGAUCGUGGAAUUCCAUGUGUAGCGGUGAAAUGCGUAGAUAUAUGGAGGAACACCAGUGGCGAAGGCGACGGUCUGGGCCGCAACUGACGCUCAUUCCCGAAAGCGUGGGGAGCAAAUAGGAUUAGAUACCCUAGUAGUCCACGCCGUAAACGAUGGUCACUAAGUGUCGGGGGUCAAACCCCGGUGCUGCAGUCAACGCAAUAAGUGACCCGCCUGAGUAGUACGUUCGCAAGAAUGAAACUCAAAGGAAUUGACGGAAGG